rnacentral:lncRNA from 1 species
UGGUCAGUUUCACGCGUCGUCACCUUCGGUUCAAUUAAGCUCAGCUUUACAAUUAACCUGCCAGUUUCACAGGUUGUCACCUUCGUUUCAAUUAAGCUCUUUGACAAGUCAGCUUUACAUCAGGUAUUUUUGUUAACUGUUACCAUAUACGACAUCCUUCAACAUGUCUAUGAACAUUGGUACCUGUAAUGAAAAAAAUUACAUUUAUCAUCAGCGAUUUGGAUUAUCCAAACAAGUAGUAUAUCAAAGUUUACUUUGAGCAAGAAAUUUACAACAUUUUAUAUGCGACACAUUGAAUCAUAUUUAAACACCAUUAUUGACAAGGAAAAAAUAGAUGCAAUGAUUCGACUAGAAUUUAAGUGUUCUGGUGGCACUAACCUCAUCUACUUUCAGUCUGGCUUGACUUAGGCUCGACAUUGCCGUGCCGCAAGCUUCCACUCUCGCCUCUGCUGUCUUCGCUGGAACUCGUCUGCCCGUGCUCCUCCUGAGGUAUUUACUGUAUUUUGAAAAGAUCAAUACAAAUGUGUAAGCAAUGUGUGAGUACAUAUAAGAGGUAGUGCGUGUGUGCAUACAAAGAGAUAUUACAAUUUAAGUUGUUCAAAUUAUUUAAAACAACAAGUGACGAGUCGAUAUGCUGAUAUACAAAGACUCAUAGACAUGUUAAUCUAUGUACCAUUUAGAUGUGGCUCGGAACAUACACUAAAAAUUGAUAAGUCAGUAAAAGAAAAAAAAAUCAUGAUGCAUAUCAUCGUUGAUCAGCAGUAAUUUUAGCUUAUUUAACAAUCAACGCAAACAAGGGAAUAAUGUACGCUUCUGGAACAAAUCAAUGAGAAGUCAGCAUUUUCGCGUAUCUAAUUUGUUAUGCACACCAUAAGCAAGUUGAUUUGGAGAUCAAUCAUUUGAGCAAAAAGAUAGAAUCAAAAGUUCCCCUGGGAAGCACCACAUGUAUGAGCUUAGCAUAUAGAAGGCCAAUAGAUUUUAAUUUUGAAAAUAGGCAAAAACAAUAAUAAUAAUAAUAGGACUAAUAAAAAAUAGCAAUGUGUGUAUCGAUUAUAUACAACAGCAGUUCCUGUUACAUAUCGAGUUGCAUGGGUUUGCAUAGUGUAUCAAUGGCUGCACCAGGGCCAUUUAGUUGAAAAACAGUUGAAAAAUAGAGAAAUACUCAUAGGUCUUAGCAUUAUAUAAACCCUACCAGCUAGAAUGACUUAGAUGUAUCCUCUGUUUUCAUUUCACUUGGUAAGAUAAGUGUUGUUUGAAGAGUAAAUACUAUAUCAGCACAAAUGUCUAUUCCCCACAAGAAACUUAUAUCCUCUGUUUUCAUUUCACUUGGUAAGACGAGUGUUGUUUGAAGAGUAAAUACUGUAUCAGCAAAUGUCCAUGCUAACCAAGUUCCCAUCUUUAAUAAAUAAUAUUUGUUUACACUUUCCAAAACUCUCAUGCAGGCAGGCAGGCAUUUUUGACAAUAUCAAAGAAUGGAUGCUAAGGAGCAACGAAGGAAGAGAGAAAGAGAGCGCUAUGCAGAGAUGACCGACGAAAAAAAACAGGAAAAACUCAAAAAACGCCGCGAAGCCUAUCAACAUCAGAAAGAAAAAAAAAAGCAGAGCUCUAUGCACAGAUGACCGAUGAAGCACAGAUGAACGAUGAAGCACAGAUGGCCGAUGAAAAAAAGCAGCAAAAACUCGAAAAACGCCAUGAAGCCUAUCAACAAAAGAAAGAAAAAAGAGCAGAGCUCAAUGUACAGAUGACCGAUGGAGAAAAGCAGGAAAAACUCAAAAGACGCCGUGAAACCUAUCAACAAAAGAAAGAGAAGAUAUGUGCACAGCAUAGGCAGAUAUAUGCAAAUAUGCAGUCAGAACAAAAGAAAGCUAGAAUAGAACAUAUAAAUGAAUUGAAGCGCAGCACAGCAAACAAAGACUCAAUUGCGAUGCAAAACCCUGCAUAUAGCUCAACUGAACAAGAAGUUAGUAUUUCUACCCCUUCUGUAAAUCACAGAAAGCAUGUCACGCGAGGAGAAAGACAAACAUUGCUGCACCGCCGUAACAAACAAUUCACGACAAGACGGAGGAAAAAUGUUACAGUAUCAUCAAAAGAAGAUGCAUCCAUGACGGAAAUCGGCAACAAUGAUACAGAGCCUCUACAUCAACCACAAGUAAUGAUUUACGGUAAAAAUCUAAAUUUGAUACAAUACUAGCAUUCAAAGUAAAUAUACAUGUGUUUGUACAACUAACCAUAUUUUGUGGACAGACAUCCCCUCAUCAAUGUUUCCAAGCAUGAAAGAAGCAGAUACCCCAACAAAGACAUUAUACAAUGGCGAUCACAAUAAGGUGGCUUCAUGGCCAGACAUCCCCUCUUCAAUGUCUCCUACAAUCAAAGACGUAGAUGCACAAAUAGAAUCAUUCUACAAUGAUGUUCGCGGUAUGAUAAUCAAUUGGAUAUACUUUUAUACAAUACAAAAACUAUAUGCAUAUCUAUAUAAAUAAAAAAUUCUACACAACAAAUAAUAAAGUCAUGUGUGAGAAAGACACAGCCAUCAAAGAAGCAGACGCACCAACACAAUCAAUCCACAAUGAGGAUCAUGGUAAGGUUAUCAAUUUCAUAUAUAUUGUUAUGCAGUACAGAGAAAUAUAAUAUAUAUAUAUAAGAUUACAACACAGGUAAUGACGAAAUCAUAUUUGAAGAAGAUACAAACGAGGACGGACACAUGUUCUCUGGUCAAGGUAUGCCCAAUACAAUUUAAAUAGAUUCGAAUCAUUAUAUUUCUCCUUCACUAAAAAUUUUAUGCUACAAACCAUACUAGAAUGGGGCAGAGAAGUGGAAAUUGAAAUCAAAGAAGACGAAGAAAUUCACAAGUCUGAUCCAUAUGAUUUUGUCUACAGUAACAUACCAAAAAACACACAUGUGCUCAAACCAGAAGAGAAUUGCAGAUUAUGUCAUGCAAAAAAAUUCAAGUAUGAAACUAAGGGGUUAUGCUGCAGAAAAGGACAGAUAAGACUGGCCAAUCCAGAUACAACACCUGAACUCAUGAGACUUUGGACAAGCAACGACUCUGAUGCAAGACAUUUUCGGCAAAAUAUAAGAUUUUUCAAUGGACACUUCUCAUUUACUACUCUAUAUUGUCACCUUGACAGAGACACAACUGACAUGCGAACAGCUGGUAUUUACACCUUUCGAGCUCAUGGUCAGAUCUAUCACAACAUACAUUCAUUUGGUAAUAGUCACUCAGAUCCAAAGCAUUUGGUGCUAUACUUCUACGACGAUGAUCCAAGCUUAGAGCAUCGAUAUCGUCGUUGCCGCGAGGAAAUGUAUGAGCAAGACAAGCAUGUGAUUGGAAUAAUAACCACAUCCUACACGGUAACCCGUACUCUCAACAGUUUAGGAGUUUGGGACAAGCCCAAAACCUUGAGGACUACAGAGUCAUCUUGAACCUUGACCAAAGAUUGGACCAGAGAACAUACAAUGCACCAAUCAAUUCAGAGGUAGCUGCAGUGUGGAUUGAAGGAAAUGAAAGAAGAGAUACUUAUGACAGGAGUGUAAUACUACAUGGGAACAACAACGAAAAAGAGCACAUUUGAUCAUAUUACGGGUGCUAUGAUCCGUUGUCGUAUCCUCUAUUCUUUCCAAGAGCUGAACUGGGUUGGCAUAGGAAAAUCCCAAAGAAGAAUACACAAGAGGAAGACAUUGGUGCUGAUAAUAUCAAUAAUGACGAGGACCCAGGUAAAAAAUUCAUAUACUAUUAUAUUCAAAAUUCAAUUUUCAUAUAUGGUACGGUACAAACUUAUGCAACUAACUUUUUAUGUUGCAAUUUUUGCAUAGAUUCGGUCAACGGCUUGUGGGUAACCAUGAAAGAAUACUACUGCUAUAAAUUCCAUACAUGACCAAGCAUAUUCAACCCAAUAUUGCAUGGCGGACGGCUUUUGAUGAAGACCGAACCUCGUGGUGAGAUCCGAUCUGUUGUUGCGGCCUGAUCUUUCACGACACUCCUUGUUACCUUCACUAAAUUGAAAUAUUUUAGGCUCAUGUAUAUCUGUGAUUUGAUGCGGUACAACAUUAUGUGUGGUCGUAUCAUCCUCUCUUCCUUGCAUCAAAACCGUCCUCGGAUUUGGGUUGACCUCUUGAGCAAUAUUUUCUUCACUCGAUUGAAUAACAACCACAGAAAUUUCAGCAACUUGGGCCUUCUUCUUUUCUUCUUCUUCCUGCUCUUUUAUCCUCUCAAGAUGUUCUUUCCUCCAAGAAAUAAAACGCUCCUCACCCAUUGGCACGAGGCUGCACUUCUUACCCCUCUUGACGGUAUAUCUGUGUGUUUUGCAAUCGUACGCGACAUCAUGCUCUCUGUACCACGGCUCUCCCACUAACAAGUGACAUGAAAUCAUCGGUGCCAGAAUCACGUCGCACAAAACCUCGCAAAAAUAAUUUUCCAACAAAAACGGUACCUUUGUUUGUUGCGUGACAGUGAGCUCUUCAUGACCCCAACGGAAACAGUAUGGUUGUGGACAUGGUGUCAUUGGUAGAUUCAGUUUCUCCACCAUCUCGAUGCUUGCGGCGUUGAUCAAAUUCAUGUGAUCGACCAUCAUAGCACAUGAUCUCUCUCUCACCACCACACGGGUGUGAAAUAGCCCGGCCCAACGGCCUUCCUCCUCCAACUGAAAUCCAUAGCUUAACUUACUGAAUGAUAAUGCGCUCAUCAUCUUCUCCAUAGUGUCGUGAACAACCUUGCUCUGAAUACCACCUGAUGAAGACCGAACCUCGUGGUGAGAUCCGAUCUGUUGUUGCGGCCUGAUCUUUCACGACACUCCUUGUUACCUUCACUAAAUUGAAAUAUUUUAGGCUCAUGUAUAUCUGUGAUUUGAUGCGGUACAACAUUAUGUGUGGUCGUAUCAGCUUUUCCAGCAGUUUGUUGUAGAUACAUACAUCAAGAUUGAAAGCUCCAGACUGGAUUACAUGUGGCAUCAUCAAAAGAAAAUAAGGGCAGAUCCAUACCAAGGCCUUCUAGACAGCAUUCAAGCCAAAGAACAGAAUGGAGAUGCAGUCAGAACACGGAGAGUACUUGCCUCAUCAUUUAUUGGAGGGCCACGAGAUAAGCUUCGUCGGUAUCCGGAUGCGAUGGCUUUAGUUAGAAAAUAUGGAAAGCCAGACGUAUUCCUAACAAUGACCUGCAAUCCCAACCGGGAAGAGAUCACACGUGAACUAGAGUUUGGACAAACACCACAAGAUCGCCCAGACAUUGUCGUUCGUGUUUUCAGGGCGAAGCUAGAAGAAAUGAAGAAGCAACUAUUUAAGAAGGCCAUUCUUGGAAAGGUUACGGCAUAUACAUAUGUCGUAGAGUUCCAAAAGAGGGGAUUACCCCAUGCUCACUUUUUGCUCAUCAUGACCGGAAAAUACAAGUACACAUGUCCAGAACAGUAUGACAGAAUCAUCUCCGCUGAGCUCCCUAACAAGCACAAGUACCCAGAGAUAUAUAAAAUGGUAAUCAAACAUAUGAUGCAUGGUCCUUGCGGUGCAUUGAAUAAAUUUUGCCCGUGCACAAAGAAUCGUCCAUCAUGCAAGAACAAUUAUCCAAGGCCAUUUAACAAAACUACGAUUCAAGGCAAGGACUCAUACCCAGUAUAUAGGAGACGCAAUGACGGCCGGACCGAAACGGUAAGAAAUUGCAAACUAGAUAACAGAUGGGUGGUUCCUUACAACCCCUAUCUGUUAAGGAUGUUCAACUACCACAUAAAUGUUGAUAUAUGCUCAAGCAUUAAAGCUGUUAAGUACCUCUUCAAGUACAUCUACAAGGGACAUGAUCGAGCAUCUGUAUCUGUAACCGACAAAGUAGAUGAAGUCGAAAUCAACGAGAUUAAAACAGUACAGAGACGCACGGUGGGUGACUCCUCCGGAAGCAAUGUGGAGAAUAUAUGGCUUUGAACUAAGCAAAAUGCACCCACCAGUCUUGCAACUGCAGCUACAUCUCCCAAAUAUGCACAUGGUUUCAUGUCAUGGCACAGAAACAAUAAAGAAUGUUCUCGACCGUGAUGGCACGAAAAGAUCAAUGUUGACUGCGUACUUUGAAGCAAACAAUUUACAUGAGAAAGCACGAGGCAUACUAUACAGAGAUUUUCCGGAAUAUUAUACUUGGCAAAGACAAGAGAAGUUUUGGCAAGAGAGGAAGCAAGCCGCUGUGUUCCAGGUUGGCAGGAUCGUCUCAGCACACCCGGCUGAAGGAGAACGAUACUAUCUACGAGUCCUCCUCAACCACGUGACAGGCGCCACCAGCUACGAAGACCUACGAACAGUCAAUGGACAAGUAAUGCCAACCUUCCAUGAAGUUGCAGAAAAACAGGGGCUCAUUGAGGCAGACAACACAUUAGACGAAUGCAUGGCAGAAGCAAAGUUGUUUCGAAUGCCAUCAUCUCUACGAAGGCUAUUCGCGACAAUCCUGGUUUUUUGCGAGCCCAGCGACGUCCGUGGUCUAUGGAACAAACACCUCGAGGCAAUGUCAGAGGACUACAGCAGAAACUGCAAAUGCAAGCACACGGUCGAACAAAUGGUGCUGAGAAAUCUUAGGGACAUGUUGCACUCAAUGGGAGAAGAUAUAGAAUCUUUUCCUCUUCCAGAGAUCGACACACAGCAUGAGAUGACAAACGGCGUGCCUAGGGAAAUCAUUGAGGAGACCUCCACACGAGGUGGACCCUAAGGACAUAUUGUUGCAUAAAAACCUAAAUACCGAGCAAAGGAUGGCCUAUGACGAAAUCCUAGCCACAGUUGACUGCCAAAGAGGUAUAUUCUUUGUCAAUGGGCCGGGAGGCACAGGAAAAACUUUUCUUUACAGGGCGCUCUUGGCCACAGUACGCGGACAAGGCAAGAUUGCAGUGGCGACAGCCACUUCCGGUGUUGCUGCUUCCAUAAUGCCUGGAGGGAGGACCGCACACUCAAGGUUCAAAAUUCCACUAAAAAUAGAUGAUGGUGCUAUUUGUAGCUUCACAAAACAAAGUGGGACAGCCAAGCUACUCCAAGCAGCAUCACUAAUAAUCUGGGAUGAAGCAUCUAUGACUAAGAGGCAAACAGUGGAGGCGCUAGACAAAAGCAUGAGGGACAUAAUGGACAGACCAGAUCUUCCUUUUGGUGGAAAAAGGUCGUAUUUGGGGGAGAUUUUAGACAAGUGCUCCCUGUUGUCCGAAAGGGGACAAGGGCCCAGAUAGUAGAUGCAUCGCUACGCACGUCAGAGCUCUGGAAUUGCAUGCGUCAGUGGAAGCUUGUGCGCAACAUGAGGGCUCAAAACGACCCUUGGUUCGCAGAAUACCUACUACGCAUUGGAAAUGGAACUGAGAAGACAAAUGAUGAUGGUGAAAUACUUCUACCUAAAAGUAUAUGUGUGGCAAAUAAGACGGAUGAUAAUGGCUUGGAUAGACUCAUUGACAGUAUCUACCAAACAGGCAAUGCUUCCCUAAUAAAGGAUCCAAAGUACAUCACAUCAAGAGCAAUUUUAUCCACAAGGAACGACUGCGUGGACAAAAUCAACUUAAAAAUGAUUGAUCGCUUCCAGGGGGAGGAGAUGGUGUACCACAGCUUUGAUUCCGUAGAAGACGACCCACAUAACUACUAUCCACCAGAAUACUUAAACACCCUAACCCCAAAUGGACUGCCUCCACAUAUGUUGAAGCUCAAAAUAAAUUGCCCAAUCAUACUACUCAGGAACAUCGACCCUACUAAUGGACUCUGCAACGGUACGAGGUUGGUCGUGCGUGGAUUUCAAAAAAUGCAAUUGACGCAGAGAUUGUGGUGGGACAGCACUCUGGAAUGCGAGUUUUCCUGCCUCGAUACAAUUAUGUCCCUCUGACGAUGACAUGUUCCCGUUCAGUUUCAAGAGGAAACAGUUCCCAAUCAGGCUCAGUUUUGCAAUGACAAUAAACAAAUCACAAGGACAGACAAUACCAAAUGUCGGCAUCUACCUGCCUGAACCGGUUUCUUCACAUGGUCAGUUAUAUGUCGCGCUUUCUAGAGCAACUGCGACAUCAAACAUAAAGGUUCUAACAGGUACACAUGGUGAGAACAAGCAGAAGAAUAAAAAUACCACUACAUGCGACACAUACACAAAGGGGGAGAAGAAUAGGAAGAGCACUACAAGCAAGACAUACGAAAAAUAUUGUAUACACGGAAGUAUUAACCAAAUAGGUAAUGCAACCUUUUAAUUUCUUGUUCAAAAUUUCAGUUUCUACUUGGUAGGAUCAUCAUUUAAGAAAAACUUAAAAGUAUAUUUAUAUUUCACAUUGCAUUGCUUCUUUUCUAACCUUAAAUAUAUUACUUGGAUUCUACAGAAACAUUAAAGCCAAGUGACAACUUCACAGUUGGAGUUCAAAACUUGAUCGUCUUGGAGGAGACUAACUCAUUUGUGUAUAUACAAAUCAUUUAUGGUAUAUUUCUCAUGUAUAAUAUCCUGAGCGAACAAAUUAUGUGUCCACUAACUCAUUCAUGGUUUUUCUAUAGAAAUAAUUCUAAGUAUAUAUACAAAUUUAGCACCAAAAUGUGUAACUAAGGGCAGAAAGAGACUUACAAGCCAAAAUAAGAACAUAUUUGUCACCUUGGAAAUGCUGCUGUUGCCCAGAUUUUUCUAAACAUCACAUUCUCUACAUACCCGAAACCUGAAAUAUAAACGACCAAUUAUGGCUGUACAAGCUGUACCAAAAUUUCUACUAUGCAAUCCUCAAAGAAUUUCGACUGCAAUUAUAUGUUUCUGCGUGAGAUUAACUGCUCCCAAGUGAAGCUUACUCCAAGAUUAGACAGUAGAAAAACAAAAACAGGAUCACCCAAAUUCUAUUUUUUCUCUCCGAUUCUAAAAUGACUCUAAUGCUAACUUCAUUAUGCUGUCCUUUUUGACCAAAAUAUUGAGGAUCCCCGCCAAAUCAUUAUGCUGUCCUUUUCUCAUGGAUCGGUGGCAAAAUCUAUUAGAGAUGUUCUCCCAUCCUUUUUAGCCAAAUCCAACAUCACUAAAAAAGAGUCAAAUUCAAUCUAAAUAUACUUUCGAGUGUGUGCUCUCUCAUUACAGGAUGCAAUGUACUCUCAAAAUUUGUGCCCGACAUACUUAUCAGAAUGCAAGUAUCUAUCUCAACAUUUCUUUUGCUCAAAAAUUCACAAGAUCAUCCGAACAGUAAAUGUGUUACUCACACGCAUGCAUGCACGCACACGCACACACACACACACACACACACACACAAAUGUCACUGACAUGAGACACCAAGAUAAAACUUGAUCUCCAGAUGCAGAAACUCUACCAUGAAGCAAUGUCAUUCUGUCAUAGAAUCCCUUUCUUGCAAGUCAUGCCCCAAGUUGCCAUUUCUUAUAGUAGCCUAUUAAGAGCAAGGAUCCUAAAUUAAUAUCAAUAAAAGUACCACUGUGUGUUCACCAUCCAACAAUGAUAUACUGUGUGGUAAACUCGAGUUCACAGUUGUCAAUACCUGAAUCCAUCAAGUAACUGGAGUAGUCGAGCACGUAAGCGAGCUGCGAGCGCCUUCCCGGAUUGAAUGUGGGAGCCAAGCACGAGGCCGACUAUCACAGGGGCACGAGACGCACAGAACCUCGGGCCGCUCCGAGAUGCCUGCUCCCGCAUCGUGUCCAGCACGCUCCUCUAGCUCGCAUCUGGAUCUGCACUGGGACAUGUGUACGGCGACGGCAGAGUCGAUCUAGGGAAGACCGACGGUGUUAGCGGCAAGGCGAGGUUAUGGUGGGGAGAGGAGGCGGCGGCGCAAGGCCGUGGGGAGGGGGAGAGGAUGGGCUGGGCGACGAUGUGGCGGGAGAGGAUGCGGCGUGCGACUGCGUGCCGGGGAGAGGAGGCAGUGGGGAGAGCAGUUGAGGCCUCGCGCCGGCGGCGGGGACGAAAGGAAAGGGCGGCCUGAUGAGGUACUACAUCCACAAGGAAUGGAAGUGAGGGGCGGCCACCAUGGAAUGGGGGAGCGG